CAGGGCGGGCAGCGGAGACGUCACGUCCGAGUGCAAGGGACUUCGGUCCUGGGCGCCGGAGGGAGUGGCCCGAGGGCUACCCUCCGCCGGGCUGGGCCGGCGGCGCCCGUCUCGGUCCUGUCUCGACCUCGAGAAGUCGUCUCGACCUGGCUGGGCCGUGCUGGACGGGAAGGGAUGGUGAUGCUGGAGGAAGCAGGAGAGGGCGGCGGGGGCUGCGCUAGGAGGGUCCGCUUGUAACAGAAACCUGUGUACCUGAAGACAGUGGAAAACAAACAGAUGAGGCAACUUCAUGUAUCAAAUAUGAAGGAAAAGCUGCAUAAAACCCAUAAUUCAUGCCAGCCAGCCCUAAGCCCUUACUUAUGAAGAACUGAGAGAAUAAUAAUCCAAACAUUGAACAUUCUCAAUGAUAAAAAUAACGCAGAUAUUCACUGAAGAAAUAUCAUGUAAGUUAUGUAACCUGUUUAAAUUAUCUCGAAUUUUAAAAAAUAAUACUAUUAGCAUUAUAGUAAAGAUUCCUAUUGGUUCCCCCCCCCCAAAAAGACAACAACAAAACCAAAAAACUAUAUUUACACCAACACAAGAUGCAUGCAUAUUUAAAGAAGUAGAUACAUGCAAUUUUUAGCAACAUGCAGCCUAUUUAAGGGAUUUUCAUACCUUAAUCUUUGGUUCAUCCUUUAAUUUGUCCCUUUCUGGAACUCUGUCUAUCUUCUUUAGCUUUUCUAUAUCUUUCCUUUUUCGUUUUUCUUCUUCUUUCCAUUUUCUCCUCUCUUCUUCUCUUUGUCUUUUCCUUUCUAUUUCUCGCCUCCUUCUUUCUUCUCUUUUUUCUUCUCUCAUUCUCUGGAAAGAAACAUCAACAUAAGCCUUCAAACAAGAUAAUCAUCACCAAAAACUUAAUCCCAAAGGUAUGGUGGGAACCCACUAAAUUGGAUCGGCUUUCCUUCCUACUUUCUACAAAAGUGGCAUCCUAUCUCUUUAACCCCCUCCCCAUCCCAUUAUGAAUAUGAGAAUAAAGACCAGGGCCUGCUAGUAUCAGAGUCUCCCACUGUUGCCUUGCUAUAUUUCCAGAGGCUUUCAGAAAAUCAAGGGAGUGUCUCUGGAACAAGCUAAAGACUCUCUGGGUUUGCAGAGUGAAUCCUUGGUCCAACAACCAGACUGAAGGAGAGGGCCAGAGAGUAAGGAAUGUGAGCUGCUUGUUACUAGAAAAUACCAGUUGAUCUUCAAAGGCUUACCAACAUCUAAAGGUCCCAUGAGUCUUUAGACUUUUUCUACUUAUAUUUAUGUGGCAUUAAAACAGGUCACAGAGAAUUUUUCCCAUCUUAUCAAUGCAUUUACAUAAGCCUGUGAGGGCGGUACUAUAUGCAUUUUACAGCAAAAGAAACAGAGUCUCAGAGAAGUAAAUGCCUUCCCCAUGGUCACACAGCUAGCAAGUGCCAGAAGUGGGAGUCAGACAAGUCUUCUGAGGAAAAAGCCAUUGUCCUUAAUUCCUGUUGCCCACUUACCUA